CCCUGUGACCCCGCAGACCGGCAGUUCAACACCUUGAUCCCGUGGUGUUUGCCCCACACCGGCAAUCGCCACAACCACUGGGCCGGGCUCUACGGCCGCCUCGAGUGGGACGGCUUCUUCAGCACCACCGUCACCAACCCCGAGCCCAUGGGCAAGCAGGUGGGCCCUGACCUUUCACCUUUGACCCCUGGCCUUUCACCCUAACCCUGGCCCUAAUCCUGAUCCCAAUGCUGCUCCCGACCCUGACCUGACCUGAGCCUAAACCAACACUGAGCCUGUGGACAAGCAGGUUGGUCCUGACCUUUGACCCCUGACCAUUGACCCCUGACCGUUGACCCCUGACCGUUGACCCCUGAUCUUUGACCCGAACACUAACCCUAAUCCUGACCCCUGAUCCUGACCCUAGCCCUGACCCCAAUGCUGCUCCCGACCCUGACCUGACCUGAGCCUAAACCAACCCCGAGCCCAUGGACAAACAGGGCCGCGUCCUUCACCCCGAGCAGCACCGCGUGGUGAGCGUCCGUGAGUGCGCGCGCUCGCAGGGCUUCCCCGACACCUAUCGCCUCUUUGGGAACAUCCUGGACAAACACCGACAGGUGGGGAACGCCGUGCCGCCGCCCCUCGCCAAAGCCAUCGGGUUGGAGAUCCGUGCCUGCGUCCGAGCCAGGAUGAGGGAGGAGAGCGGAGCCAG